rnacentral:rRNA from 1 species
AGGAAGCGAUUCCGGCUACGGAUGGUCAUGCGUCGCAUUAGCUAGUUGGCGGGGUAACGGCCCACCAAGGCGACGAUGCGUAGGGGUUCUGAGAGGAAGGUCCCCCACACUGGUACUGAGACACGGACCAGACUCCUACGGGAGGCAGCAGUGAGGAAUAUUGGUCAAUGGCCGCAGGGCUGAACCAGCCAAGUCGCGUGAGGGAUGACGGUCCUAUGGAUUGUAAACCUCUUUUGUCAGGGAGCAAAGGACGCCACGUGUGGCGUUUUGCGAGUACCUGAAGAAAAAGCAUCGGCUAACUCCGUGCCAGCAGCCGCGGUAAUACGGAGGAUGCGAGCGUUAUCCGGAUUUAUUGGGUUUAAAGGGUGCGCAGGCGGAAUGUCAAGUCAGCGGUAAAAUUUCGGGGCUCAACCCCGUCGUGCCGUUGAAACUGGCGUUCUUGAGUGAGCGAGAAGUAUGCGGAAUGCGUGGUGUAGCGGUGAAAUGCAUAGAUAUCACGCAGAACUCCGAUUGCGAAGGCAGCAUACCGGCGCUCAACUGACGCUCAUGCACGAAAGCGUGGGUAUCGAACAGGAUUAGAUACCCUGGUAGUCCACGCAGU